UACGUAGGGUGCAAGCGUUGCCCGGAUUUAUUGGGCGUAAAGGGCGCGUAGGCGGCUCUGCACGUCCGUUGUGAAAUCGCCCGGCUCAACUGGGCGGGGUCAGCGGAUACGGCAGAGCUUGAGCAAGCUAGGGGGGCAAUGGAAUUCCCGGUGUAGUGGUGGAAUGCGUAGAUAUCGGAAGGAACACCUGUGGCGAAAGCGGCUCACUGGACCAUUACUGACGCUGAGGCACGAAAGCUAGGGGAGCAAACAGG
rnacentral:rRNA from 1 species